UUACUCACUUUGGUAACACAUAUACUAAAAUUGUAAUGAUACAGGAAGAUUAGUAUAGCCUCUGUGCAAGGAUGACAGGAAAUUCAUGGAGCAUUCUAUAUUUUU
ensembl:snRNA U6 U6 spliceosomal RNA